AUGGAAGCGGGGGGAGCGACGGCCGGUGUCGGCGCCGAGAAGAAUUCGUGGCCGGAGGUGGUGGGCUUGUCGUCCGAGGAGGCCAAGAAGAAGAUCACAGAGCACAAGCCGGACGCCAGCGUCCACGUCGUUCCGGCCGACUCCUUCGUCACCAUGGAUUACAACACCGGCCGAGUCAGGGUGUUCGUCGACUCCAACGACAAGGUCACGAAAGCUCCCAGGAUUGGCUAG
rnacentral:rRNA from 1 species